rnacentral:ribozyme from 1 species
UCGGUGUAUUUGAAAUCCAGCAUACCCGUUAUAAAGCUGUAGCACUACCACGACUUUAAAUCUACAAACAAUCACUGGUAAAAGAUGAAAGGCUUCUUGAACAAAGUAUCAGGCGGAGCAAAGCCCAAUGGUGGUAAGAAUGAGUCGGGUGGCGUUAUUAUGCCCAACCCAGCAAUUGAAUCCACCCCUAGAGCAGAUAUAUCAUUGCCUAAGAGCCAAGCGCGGAGGCGGUCGUCUCUCACGAGAGCCCACAAAA